rnacentral:rRNA from 1 species
AGCAGCCGCGGUAAUUCCAGCUCCAAUAGCGUAUAUUAAAGUUGUUGCAGUUAAAAAGCUCGUAGUUGAAUUUCGGGAUCAGUACGCCGGUCGUGCCUUCGGUAUGCACUGGUGUCACUGGUUUCUCCCUUCUGAAGAACCACCAUGCCAUUAAGUUGGUGUGGCGGGGAAUCAGGACUGUUACUUUGAAAAAAUUAGAGUGUUUAAAGCAGGCUCGCGCUUGAAUACAUUAGCAUGGAAUAAUGAAAUAGGACGUUUGACCCUAUUUUGUUGGUUUCUAGGAUCGACGUAAUGAUUAAUAGGGAUAGUUGGGGGCAUUAGUAUUCAAUUGUCAGAGGUGAAAUUCUUGGAUUUAUUGAAGACUAACUACUGCGAAAGCAUUUGCCAAGGAUGUUUUCAUUAAUCAAGAACGAAAGUUAGGGGAUCGAAGACGAUCAGAUACCGUCGUAG